GUUCUUACCGCGGCGGAGAAAGUCUCUCUGAACAAACAGAGUCCCGAAGCGGAGGAGAAGCUCGGCGCUCUGGUCGACGCUCUGUGUGUUGAAGCUGUGGAUAAAAUCCUGAAGAUGGUCGAGGAGGCGGCCGUGCAGAGAGACCUGAAGGAUCCACCUGAGACCACAGAAGGUGACGGCGGCGGCGAGCGCCCCCCCACAGAGCAGACCUACAUGCUGGUUUACAGGAACGCCGCCGCCGACCCGAGUGUGUGCUGCUGCCGCUGCAGAGCGAGGCUAAUGCUAAUGCUAACGGUGA